GAUGAACGCUGGCGGCGUGCCUAACACAUGCAAGUCGAACGGGGUAUAUAAGCCGGAAGUUUUCGGAUGGAAGGUUAUAUACCUAGUGGCGGACGGGUGAGUAACGCGUGGGCAACCUGCCCCGUGCCGGGGGAUACCGCCUGGAAACAGGCGCUAAUACCGCAUAAGCGCAUACAGCCGCAUGGCAGUAUGCGGAAAGCUCCGGCGGCACGGGAUGGGCCCGCGCCCGAUUAGCCAGUUGGCGGGGUAACGGCCCACCAAAGCGACGAUCGGUAGCCGGCCUGAGAGGGCGGACGGCCACAUUGGGACUGAGACACGGCCCAAACUCCUACGGGAGGCAGCAGUGGGGAAUAUUGCACAAUGGGGGAAACCCUGAUGCAGCAACGCCGCGUGAGUGAAGAAGCGUUUCGGCGCGUAAAGCUCUGUCAGCGGGGAAGAAAGAAGACGGUACCCGACCAAGAAGCCCCGGCUAACUACGUGCCAGCAGCCGCGGUAAUACGUAGGGGGCGAGCGUUAUCCGGAAUUACUGGGUGUAAAGGGAGCGUAGACGGCGAAGUAAGCCUGAAGUGGAAGCCCGCGGCCCAACCGCGGAACUGCUUUGGGAACUGUUUAGCUGGAGUAUGGGAGGGGUAAGCGGAAUUCCUGGUGUAGCGGGGAAAUGCGUAGAUAUCAGGAGGAACACCGGUGGCGAAGGCGGCUUACUGGACCAUGACUGACGUUGAGGCUCGAAAGCGUGGGGAGCGAACAGGAUUAGAUACCCUAGUAGUCCACGCCGUA
rnacentral:rRNA from 1 species